UUAAUAUAAUCACCAUGGUUUCUUUAAUUUUUUUGCCACAUUGUUGUGUAAAUAACAAGAAGUCGUUUAAAAAAUAACUAUUUUUACAAUCGGUAUUUUGUCAUUAACACAUUUCUGUGAACCAUGGUCUGAAUCGUACAACAACAAUAUUGUUGUACAUCAAAUCAAAUUCAAAACUCCACAUUUGCGUGAUAAGUGAAAUGCUUCAAAUAAACUUGAACUGGCCGGAAACGUUACAAGAUUUUAUGUAAAUCUUGCACUAUCAGCCGUCUUGAUUUGAUCUUUGUGCUGUUUUCUUAUUUAAAUAUUGUUGAGCACGUGCUAGAGGAAUUCAAACAAUGCAUAUGACUUUUGGACUUUAAAUUCUCUACGAUAUUUUUGUCUUUUUUUUUGACAGCCAUGCUUUUUAGUGAGUUUGAGAUAGUGUAAAAUACAGUGAAGAUAUGUUCGCUAUGAGAGGCCUUCAUGAUCUCGUGCAUGCACUUAAAUAAUAACAGUGAAAUUUAUGAAUCUUUGUAGUAUUUGAUAUUGUGAUGAUCGAUGAUGUGUACAGAAAGGUCUAUAGUUCCUAGAUAGACAUAAACGAAGAAAAAACUAAGCAGUCACUCUUUUUCGUUUAUUUAAAAAACAGAAAGCUUUACUGAAUAGUUUUAGCGUUAUUUAAACUCGAGUUUGAAAAUGAAAUACUAUCUUUGUAAACUCAGAUGUCACUCCUCUUCACCGGCUGUUCCUCAUAUAUAUGUAUAAAUGUAUAAGUGUUUUUGUACAAGUUAAUUUGUGUUUGUUUGUAGUUAAAAUGAUUUUGUUAUAACAUUGGCAAUGGUUGCAAAUACAAAGAGAAAAUUUUGUUUUUAAUAUUGUAGUUUAGUUGUAAUGAUGCAACCCAUAUCUUUGUAUUACACAAAUUCAAGCAUGCGUACGAUUAAAAGUGCACAUUUCCCUUUUUUUGUUAACUAAAACAUUUUAAAACGAUGCCCUGAGCCCAAGUCCUACAAUCUUUUGACAACGCCAAAUUAGAUGCGUUUUUGCCAAAAUGUCUAUUCGUUUUAGUUUAUAGGGACAUUUUUGUUAGUUAUUUUGAAAUGUUUUACCAUCAAACAUCAAAGACUCUUUUUUCCUUUUUCACAUCAAGUACUCUAAGAUGACAACUUGUUACUUUCACAUCUAGUUCCUCCAUUUAUUUUUGUCGUAGAGUUUUAGGAAGUGUUACGAUAUUCAAGCGCUAUCCGCUUUCUACACAGUAUCUUUUUAUUGAACAAUAUUCGUUGCAUUUUAAUGUAUAUUUGAACCUGAGCCAAAUUGUAAUAAAUAUUAUUGUAUUAUUGUACUAUGCAUCAUCGAACGUGAGUAUUAUUCGCCUGACUAUUCUUCUUGUGUACUGAACAUAAACUAUUUUAAGGAAAUCCAAUGACAACGCAACUCUGACCGGCAGCAUGCCGUUAUAUAUGCAUAAAGUAAGCGAUCUGUUCCAUUUUGAUUUCCUGUAGGUAUCAGUAACUUCACUUGUCUUUUAUUAAAUCAUAAUAAACUAUUUCGAAUAAUUUAAUCAAUAAACUUCAAUUGUGGCUAGACUUGCUCCAUGAUUUCAUACGUAGUCGACAUUUGUAUCGGUUUGUGCUUUUCACGGAUUAUUAAGAAGAAUGAAUAUUAAAACAACAAACUUAUGUAAAAUUUAAAAACUUACUGUUAUGUGAUUUAAGGUUAUAUUCACUGUAUUCAUAUUUAAGGUGUGCCAAUUUAAUGCUCAAGUGUGUUUUGUCUA